GAAAACCAUACACUUCUCCAGCAUACUGUUACUACUACUUAAAAAGUAUCUUAGCCAUUUCUUUUUUUAACUUUUAACUUUUAAAUUCAGGGGUACAAGCUCAGGAUUUUUACUUAGGUAAACAUGUCAUGGGGGUUUGUUGUACAGAUUAUUUCAUCACCCAGGUAUUAACCCUAGUACCCAUUAGUUGUUUGUUUCCCAAUCCUCUCCCUCCUCCCAUCCUCCACCCUCUGAAAGGUCCCAGUGUGUGUUGUUCCCCUCUGUGUGUCCAUGUGUUCUCAUCAUUUAGCUCGCACUUAUAAAUGACAACAUGCAGUAUUUGGUUUUCUGUUCCUGCGUUAGUUUGCUAAGGAUAAUGGCCAUUAUCUUAGCCAUUUGAAAAUAAUGAUUUAACCUCUCUCACCUUCAUUGUCAUUUUAGAAGAAACUACCAUUUGGUGUCCUGCUGAGACAAGAAAAUAUUUUCACAACUCAAGACAAGUUAAAUAUCCACUUAUGGGAACAGUGCUGAAGGCCUGGACUAGGAUGGUAGCAAUGGAGACAGACUAAAGAAAGAGAUGCAAUCAUUCCCUUGCAUAUGGUCCGUAUGAAGACGGGAUCAUUACAGGAAAGGUGAAGGAGAUACAGUCAUUAUGCUCUAUAUACACCCAUUUUUAUGGCUAGCGGCUGAAGAUGGGAUGCUUUCUUUGCUGGAAGACCUAUUACCUGUUAGGUUGCAAAAGAUGUGAUCAUCUUCCUAAACAAUAAUUUAGAGUCCCAUAACAAUUUUAAGUGUGCUGUUCAUGAAAAUUUGAAUACAUUGUAUUGGGAAUAUAAUGGAAGUGAGAUGCCUCAUGUCGUGAGAAAAUCUGACAUAAACUCCUUAAGCAUGAGAGGCCAUGUGGGUAUGGAAGCCCUGAAAGGGAGGAAAAAACAGCCAGACCCUAGCUGUUCCAGUCAUCCCAACUGAGGUGCCAGACUUGUGAUUGAGGCCAUCUUGCAUCAUCUAGGCCUAGUAGAGCUGCCAACUGACUGCAGACACAUGAGUCAAUCCAGCUAAUGCCACAUGGAGCAGAGACAAGCCGCCCAGCUGAGCCCAGUCCAGAUGACAGAAUCAUGAGCAAAUAAGGUUGUUGUUCUUUUAAGCCACUAAAUUUUCGGGUGAUUUGUUACACAGUAAUAAAUAACUGAAACAACUAUGUACAGUUUAAUGAUCUGAAAUCAAUCCAUAGUGUUAUGAUAGCCUUUUUAACAAAAUUGAAAUGAUAACUUAUUCAUUUACAAUGCAAAUCAAUUUAAUGGCAAUAGUUACAACUGCCCUGAAAUGAUCUAAAGCCUCAUGAAGUUGAUUUAAUAUCUAGCUACCCAACAUACUUAAUCACAUGUUCACAGUUGAUGAAUAGUGACUGAAUCUCCAUGAGCAAGAUAAUAGUAAAGCUCUUUUUUUCUCUUUCUCUUUUUUUCCAGAUGAAUAAUUUUACAUUUACACUGAUAAAAAGUUAAAGUUGCAGCUCUGUUUUCACACUACCUGAGGGAUCUUUGUAGAUUACAUAAACCCUAAGCCUCCUGUGUUCCAUAUGGAGAGGACUGAUGAAGCCAGCAUUAGGCGUGAUGGGGACGUGCAUAAAUGUGUAUGUUAUCCACUGAGACACAGAUUCUGAAGCACCAGAACAUUAAAGGCACUUCUACUUGUUUCUUCUACCCAGCUGAAAGGACAGAAAGCUUCUUCCACAGAGCCAGGACAGUCCAGGGGAACGUAGUCCUUCGACUGAAAGCUAUGCUUCCUAUUUUCUAACAAAGAGGCUAGGUCAUGUUGACCACCCAGUUUUGGCCUGCCUGGCUUGCUUUUUAUUCCAGCCUGGAGGACUUUCAGGGUUGAAUAUCCACUCAAGCCAAAUCCCAAGAAGCAUAACCUGCUAUUAGACUCUUGUCACUUAUCGGGUGAGGGGCUGUGCGGCUGUUCCAGUGCUUCCCCACUUGGGUCUUGUGACAUACCCUGGGGCCAAGCCAAGCCCUGGAGGUUAGCUUCUACAGUCUGUCCUUAAAGAGAGCUCAGGGAUGUCUGGACAGGACCUGGAGACAGUGCCCUGGGCCAGAGACCUCUGAUCUCUAGGCCAGCAGAGUCACCAUGCAGACAGAUUUAUGAGCCUUAGGCAAAACAGCUGGCAUUCCUGUGGCCAUCUUUCUACCCCUUCCUUUCCACAUGACCAUAUCCUUGGCCAGAUCUUCAUGUCCUUAGAUGGCUGUUGCCUUUGGGUAAAUUGGCAAUUAAGAUAAAUGAGCAUAUUUAUCAUGGCCUUGUGGUUACCCCUCCUGAAGCUCUCAGGGUGGCAAGCUGCCUGACCCUCCUACUAUGAACUUAGUAACUUUAAAACAGAGAGUAUCUUUUCUUGCCCAGCUGAAAUUUCCUCCCCAGGCGACCUACUUUUAGGAUUAAUAUGCGGGAAAGUCUGCAGUUUUGUUUUCAGUGAGGGUAGUUGUGUUUUCAAGGAAAGAGGUAGCGCCUUACAGUCAGAUUAGCCAGCUUUAUUUCUUUCAUCAACCCUUUACUGGCUUUCUAAAUUUUUUCAAGUAACUUCACCUCUCUGAGUUUCAUUUACCUCAUUACCUUCAUCAGGUAAGAUGACAUAUGAAAAGCCCUUCUCAAGCAACUGCAAAGUUCCAAUUAAUAGAAGAAAUUGUAAUGACUAUCUGUGUUUGAAGCGGGGCCAUUUUUCUUAUUUGGAAUUUUCACGUAUUAAAAAUAUGGAUCCUUUACACCUGUAUGCCUUUACUCUCCAAAUUGAUUCAUUCUCUAGUUCCUCUAUCUCAUUACUAAGUUCAAAUAAUCAUCUUCCUACAAAUCACUCAGUUUAGAUGCCUUGAAGGCUUCUUUGAAUACUUGCUCCUGUUCACACCCGACAGUCAGUCAUCAAGCCCUGUGGAACUUGUCCCUGGUCAACAUCCGUUCUUCUCCAUUCCUACUGCCGUUCACCACACGCAGGCCCUCAUUGUCCCCUCCUGGGAUCUAUAUCCUCUCCUCAGCACCUUUUUCUUCUCUAUUGAUACCAUAGACAACUUCUCAUCUCAUAUUCUCUAAACUCAACUUUCAGGAUAUCAUACUCUUAUUCCAUAGAUCAGAACUUUCAAUGACUUUCUCCUUCUUUACAGCUCUUCAUAACAACUCUGAAGAUAGAUUCAGUCCUUCUUUUUGGAAUUGCCUCUUAUUUCUUUUUCUUUUUAUGCCCAUCAUAAACCUCCCAUUGGCAAAAUUACCAUGAACAUUUUCUUGUGAAUUCAUUGCCUUGGUUCAUUGGUUCAUGGACGGGCACCACCAUGAGCCAAUUAGAAUCUUUCCCUGAGAAUCUAGAAUCAUGGUUAAGAAGGUAUAGAUCUGCCUGAUGCUUUGUUGAAUGAAGAAAAUAUAAUGUCCCAAGGGUGGCAGCCAUUUUUCUGCCCUAUGAACUUCAAAAUGCAGAAAAUCUAUCUGGAAUGUGAAAGAAGAAGGAUAUCAAUGUAAAAACAAGAACAAUAUAGAUAAGUAGAGAGAGAAGAGAGAGUGACUCCCCAUUCUGCUUUUUUCUGAGGCCUUAAUUUUUUUUUAUUUGUCAUUGGUCUGCUAAGAUAAGUUAUCCCCCCCGCUUUUUUUUUUUUAGGAGACGACUCACUCUGUUGCCAGGCUGGAAUGCAAUGCCACAAUCUCGGCUCACCACAAUCUCCACUUCCAGGGUUUAAGCGAUUCCCUUGCUUCAGCCUCCUGAGUAGCUGGGACUGCAGGCAUGCACCACCAUGUCCAGCUAAUUUUUUGUAUUUUUAGUAGAGAUGGAGUUUCACCAUGUUGGCCAGGAUGGUCUCCAUCUCUUGACCUCGUGAUCUUCCUGCCUCAGCCUCCCAAAGUGCUGGGAUUACAGGUGUGAGCCACCAUGCCUGGGCACCCUUUUUAAUUUAACAACCUGGAGUUAGAUUUCUAUAUUUGUGACACUGGGAGUCCUACUUGUUUUAGGACCUACAUACCAACUGUCAUUUACUGAAAUGAUAUUUAGCCAUACAUUUUUUCCCAUCUGAUUAUAAAACAAAAAUCACAAAUCUAGAGAAGUUUGCUCCAAUAUUCUAAAAUGCUUGGAACAUACAUAAUAAUAUAAUUGAAACUCCCUUCCCUCUUGGCUUUUCUGACCUUGAACUCUCCUCUUUUCUGACUCCUCAGCCCAGCACCACCCCUUCCUUUCCCUUCUUUGCCUCUCCUUUUUCUACUCAUCUUCCAAAAGUAAGUAAUGUUCUGCAAACUGACCUUGGACUUAUUCUCUUGUCUAUUUGCAAGUUCUCCCUUAGUGUCUCAUCAUUUCCUGGCUUCAACUAUUAUUUUCAGGUAACCAUCUCCUCAUCUUUACAUCCUAACUUCUUUUACUGCCCCAUUCUAACACUACCAACUCUUCGCUAGACAUACCCACUUGGAUUCUCCUCCUGCUUCUCAAUCUGAAAAUGCCUAAAUCAGUGGUUUUCAACUGGGGGUGAUUUUGUUCCCCAGGGACAUUUGACAAUUCUGGAGACAUUUUCUUAUUAUCACAACUGGGGUUGGAGAUCCUCCUAGCAUCCAGUGAGUAGAGGCCAGUGAUGUUGCUAACCAUCGUAAAAGAACAGAAGAGCCUCUUACAACAAAGAAUUAUCUGGCCAACAGUUCUGAAGCUGAGAAGCUCUGCUCUGAAACAAAUCUCACCAUGCCCUCCCUGUAUUUCCUCUAUGGCCUAAAUCUGAUCAUUUUCCUGUGUCCUCUUGCCUGUUAGUGACACCUUCAACCUCUAAAUCACCCAGACCAUAAAUUUCAGUAGGUCUUGUUCAACUAUUUGUCAAGGAUGAUUUAUAAAGUAUGCUUACAGUGGGAAAAAAAUAAAGUAAAUAUUACUUCUAAAAUACUUUCUAUAUCUAGGAGUGUUUGAUUGUAUCAAUCUUAAAUAUAAAUAUUAUAAAAUUAGACAAGAAUACAUUUAAACAUAUAAGAAAAUAAAACAUUUAAUUUCAAAUACCUUAUCUAUCAAAUAGAUUCUGGUUAAAGCAACUAAUCUUCUACUCUUUAGAAAAACAAACUUAUUGGGACCACUCAUAUAUUGCUGCAAUUUUCCUGCACAUUAAAUUAAGGGGAGCAUGGUACAACUUCUGAUGAGGAUGGCAAGCCUGUCUAGUACUCUAACAUUGGAAUAUGGGCUUUAUAAGCUUCUUAUAUGUGUUUUGAAAGGGCAACCCAAAGAAAAUGCAAAGAAAAAGGGGAUGGUCAACAGAUAAAGUUUUUAUCAAUUUCUCUGGGGAAGAAAGUAGCUUCCUAUGAAGCUAAUUCCCUGCAUAGCAUUUAUUCCUGUCUGAUGUUUGUUUAUUGUUAAUUUACCUGUUUGUUUUUUGUUGCUUUCCACUAGAAUGCAAGACCCACGAAUUCAGGGGACUUAUAUACUUUGUUAGCUGUUACAUCUCCAGAUUUAAACCUAUGCUUUUUAUUAGGCAUUCUAUUUGUUGACCAAAGGAAUGGAUUAAUGAAUACAUGCUUGAAUAAGUAUGUGACUUAUAUGAGGUCCAGUGAGUGUCCACAUGACAAGAGCUUCUGCUCAGGGUCCAGAUCUAUCUAAAGAUAGUGGAAAGGGCAUGGGACUUGACUCAAUAAUUCAUCUAAAGCUGUUACUUUUACAGUUAGAUGUUUCAGAAUUCAAAUUUCAGGUUUUCCCUGUUAGGUAUGUGACUUUGAGAGAAUUAUUUAUCAUUCAUUCAUUUAUUUAGGCAGUAGUCAUUGCUUGAGUUCCUAAUUUAUGCCAGGUCCUAGGCUAGACUCUGGAAAUUAGUGGCAGAGAUGGCCAACAGAAACCUGUCCUCAAGGAACUCCCUACUAAUUGGAGAGACAGCCAUUAAAUGUAUUCAUAAGGGAAUGCAUUGCUUUGAAGGGGAGAAAUCACAGGAUAGUAUGGGAUUACAUAUAGGGGAUAUGGGAGGAGCUACGUAUGUCUGGUGGGUUUUCUGUAUCUAUGCUUAUUAAUCUAUAAAAUAAAGGUCAUACAAACUUCCUCAGUGGUGUUUUUGUAAAGAUAAACUAUGAAAUGAUCUGGAGCCCAUAUUGGUUGCAGGAAAGCGACUUAGUAAAUAUUGGAUCCAUUCUUUCUUAUUCCCGCUGAGCACAGGAGCAGCUUUGGGAACUGCAACCUGGGGCUGGUGCGACCCAAGCACAUAGCAAUGAAACUCAUCUAGGCCUUUUCUUCCUUCUAGAAUAGUGACAACAGAUGUGAGAAGCCUAAUCAGCUGAUUGCUCCAUAAAAUCAUAAGGGCUGCAGGUCUGCUCCACAUGGUUGAAUCGAAGGCUUCUCAAUUCUGCCACUUUCAUUUUUUGGUCCCUCUUCCUGAAAUUACUUAAGUUUUCUACUCUUACCUGAAAUGCUCACAGUUGGGUGUGAUGAGUCCUUGUAUAUGCAAUCUAUCUGGCUUUCUAGAGGUCAUAGAGGUCAUAGCAGGCUCUAGAUUAUUCCUUUAGUCACAUCUUCUUGACCUGGCAAGCUAAGGAUUAGCUCGUGAGCCCUCUUUAAGAGGAGGGGCUCAUCUGGGUUCACCGAGAUUGCAGGAGGCAAAGUGCUGUAGGGCACCACCUCAUUCUAGUGCUACGCAUUGUAACUGGCUGACCUCUCAGAGACCACACUGCGGCCGUGGAAAUCUGCCUUUUGUAAGAUGCCCUGAGAAACUGGAGAAUAUUAGAGAGGAAUGAAUAUAAAAGCAGUAAACACAACAAGCCUUUGUUGAACUUAGUAAUUGCCAUCACUGGGUUAGAUGAGCAAGGAGAAGGUUUAUGAAGCUGUGUAGGCAUGGUUUUAAUCAUAUGAGGCCAGAUCGAUUAGGCCUGGCAUCUCAGUCUGAACAGAUGAAAGGGGGUGUGAUAAAACCCACAUUUGUAGGAGGUACCUCAUUGGGAUGGUCAAAUCUUUCUUACGUGCCCUAUGAACAUGGGCAAGUUACUUACCCCCUCUACAUCUCAGCUUCCUUACUUGUGAAAUAAAGAUGGUAAUAGCUAUCACGUAGGGAACAGAGAUCACGUGCCAACACUGUGCCUAGAACCUCACCUGCAUCAGCAUGUAUCACACUCCUAAUCAUCCUGUGAGGUAGGCAGAUUAGGUGUCUAUGUUUUACAGAUAAGCAAAUUGAGUGUCUAAAUGGCUAAAUAACUCUUCCAAAGUUACACAAACGGUAAACUGAAGAGUUAGGAUAGGAGUCUGGCUAAUAUAAUGCCAAAUCCAUUCUAUAAAUUACUGAAUCAUAAUGAUCUUAUAGAGUCCAUGUGAUGAUUUAAUGAGAUGUUAAAUGUAAAUAGCUGCUCAGAAGUAAUUUUUAGCUGCUAUUGUUGUGGUUAUUUUCAUUAGCAUCACCAUCACAAUCAGAUAAUUGUGGAAAGUUUCUUACUUAGAUUCAGAAGUACAGAUUAUACAACAGCAUUAAGUGUAGAAUAAAGGAAAGGAGAUCCUAUUCAUCAGCAAGGAUGUAGCGAAGGAAAGUUUAAAAUAUUGACUGUACAAGGUCCAACUUCUCUGAUGGGCUUGGGCCCACAAUUCACCUAAGCUGAGAUUUUUUCAUGAUAGGAAGCUGCUGCUAAUUAUUUGCAUACAGUGCAGCACAAGAACCUGCCCCUGAAGUCAUGUCACUCUAGUAUUUAGCAGCUUCUUUAUGGGAAAGAUAUUUUAUAUUAAUACCUUGGGAAAAGUAGUUACAGCACAUCUCUCAGAGAUAAAAUACCAAAGCAACACUCACUUCCAUCUUGCAUAAGUUAUUGCAACAAUGAUGCUGUGUAACAAACAAACACAAAACACAAUGGCAUACCACAAUAAGUGUUUAUUGUUCAUGUGUCUGAAGUGAUCAGCUAAAUAAAUCUGGCAUUCUUGGAUUUAUGCGUCUGAGGAUUGGUUGUCUGCCUAUCUAGGCUAGCCUCCUUUGAGAUAUCUGGAAUGGCUUGGGUCUGUGUCUCAUCCUUCUCCUGGAACUAGCAGGCUAGUCUAGGCAGAUCCUUGCUGAUGACAAAGGCUCAAGAAAGCAAGCAGGCAUGUGUAAGACCACUUGAGGAAGUAGAAAUCCAACAGUUCUACUUCCUUCACUUAGCUAAAGGAAGUUACAUGGGCAAACCCAAAAGCAAGAGAUAGAGUUGACCUGUUGACUUUAAGGAACUUUGGUGAAAGGAACUGCAAAGUCAUACAGAAAAAAAGAGUGGUUAUAGGAAUAAGUGAAAAAUCAAAUAAUGUCAUUAUCUGCCCAUAUCUUUUCUUAAAAACGGAAUCCAUAUGUGUUUGAAUUUUAUUAAAGGAGCCCCACCCAUAUCAUUAGUCUAGUUUUAUCUCCAAGAUAAAUAUAUAACACAUUCAGCAAAUGGGUUGAAGUCAGGGUCAGGUUUGUUCCUGUUUAUUGUCUCACCCAAGAUGAGCACCAAGGAGUUCAGUUGUUCUCACAUGUCUGUGUGUUGCUGGGCCUUGUUUCUUUAACAAUUAAUUCGUUAUGAGAACAGAGCUUAAUCCACCCUCUUUACUCUCACAAUGUGUGUGUGGGUGUGGAUGUGGGUGGGUGUGCGUGUGUUAACUAGCCUGUGAAAGACUGACUUUUUCCUAGAGUCAUCAGCCUUGAGGGUGACUCUGAGAGGUCCUCGGUUUAUACUGGAGGUAGUAGAGUGAAGUGGUUGAUUAUACAGGCUCGGAAAUGAAACCAGCCAGGAUUCAAAUCUCAACUCUUAUGUCUUAAAUAUGAGAUAUGUACUUAGUUACUGUAAUUUCAUGGAUUUUAAGCUUCUUUAUAAAAAGAGUAAAACUUCUAAUUCAGAGAGAUGUUGUAGGACUAAACAAGAUAUUAUGUUUUGAAAGCCUUUUGCAGUGUUUGCAAAACAUAUAGUAAACUGUCUUGUUCGGUCUUGUUAAUACCGAAUAUUUUAAAGCAUAUGAUUUUAAUAAUAAAUGAGUG
rnacentral:lncRNA from 1 species